GAGUCGCGAAACUACGGUAAAUUGGGGCUUAGGGUUUUUGAUCGAAAUCUUCUGGAUCUCAUGGGUAGUUUGUUGGCAUUCCUUCUGGUCUCAUCCUCUCUCUCAUUGGAGCCUGUUUUCUUCCUUCCCCCGUCCUGAUUUGAAGCUCGUGGUUGGGGGCAUGUAUUCAGCUUUGAUGGAGAAAAUUUCGAUUUGUCACAGAGUGAAAGCUUCAAUUGUAAAUCUUCUCUUUCGAUUUACCACAAUUGUUCACCUCUUUGCAGCCUUACCUGCUAUAGAGGAUAUAAUUGACGUGAAAUGCAUCCAAAACUGUCAGAGGAUGAGCCAUGAAUAGCAAGCUUUUAUAUCUCGAACUCAUAAAUUCCGUAAAGUCUUUGUAUCUGUUAAAGGCAUAUAUUAUUAGGACGAGAUAAAGGGGAAAUUGAUCACAUGGUUGACUCCUCACCCUUUGCAGCAAGUUUUGAUUGAUGAUAUUGACUUUAAUAUCAUGCUAAACUUUUUGGAGUUUUAUGAGGCUCUUCUUGUUUUUGUGAAAUGUCAUUUAUAUCAUUCCAUAGAUGUUCCACUUCUUCGAUCUGUUGGUCGUCCUCCCAAUAUCAUAUCCAAUCAGUAAAGUAAGCUAAGCCAGAUUCCAAAUAUCUACAUGAAAAUAUAGAUUCCAUUUAUAUAUUAUAGUAAUGGAUAUGAUUGCAGCUACUGGAUUGCUUCCUUGGGAAAGAGCAUUAAUUAUGUACUAUUCAGAAGACUUUAUUUAUGUCACAGAAUGUGGUAGGCUAUCAUCAUUGUGAUUUCUCUGUAAUAUGAAUGAAGUACUAACCUUGCAUCAACUACUUAUUUCUUGGCAGCUCUCAAGAAUGUCCUAUGAUAAUCUACAACUGCCGAGUGAUCUAUAAAUCACUGAGUAUGUCAGAAAAUAAUGCAGCCUUUUAUUUAUGGGAUCAAAUUGUGCAAUUGUAGCUAUCAUGUAUAAGAGCAAGUUCACCCAUUGGGUCACCAGGUCACCCACUAUUCACUGUUUUUUAGUGUUAAUUUCACCAUCUGGGUCAC